AAGUCGUAACAAGGUUUCCGUAGGUGAACCUGCGGAAGGAUCAUUACUGAAAAACUUUUAAACCAGUUUUUUUUUUAUAUCCCAUUGUUUACCUACCCUGUUGCUUCCACUAGACAUGUUUUACCUUUUGUGGUAAGACCUUUGGCUUGUGUGAAUAAAACCCUAGCCGGAGAGUUGCCAGUGGUAAGAUCAUUUACCAAAACUUGAUUGAAACACAUUUGUCUGAAUCUUUUUGCUUCAAUGAAAUAAAACUUUCAACAACGGAUCUCUAGGCUCUUGCAUCGAUGAAGAACGCAGUGAAAUGCGAUAAGUAAUGUGAAUUGCAGAAUCUCGUGAAUCAUCGAAUCUUUGAACGCACAUUGCGCCCUAUGGUAUUCCGUAGGGCAUGCCUGUCUGAGCGUCAGCUCCCCCCCACUCAAGUAUCCUUUUUGGGAUGUUUGGAUUGCUUUGGAGAGGCGACUUUCUAUUGGAGUCGGUCGUCCUUCAGAAAUUCAUAGGCAGUAUGGUUUGCACCUGAACCAGACGUAAUAAUAAUAAAAUCGUUUGUUUAGGUAUAAUUAAUUGUACUUGCCCCAACCCACCCAUU
rnacentral:rRNA from 1 species